rnacentral:lncRNA from 1 species
UUUCAUUCAACAGAUUCAGACAAUACCGACUUAACAAGCACCCAGAGACACUCGUCAUGAGUUAUGGGCUUAUGGCUCGAAACAUCAUCACAUGGAUGGCCCACCUCCUGGAGAAACACUAGCAUUAUGCGAGACAUGUAAGCAGCAUACGUGGACACAAUCAAACUGACCCCAUACAAUAACCAACAAGUGGGCCAAAGAAUAAAGCUACAACUUCAAUCAAUCAAGGUUGAGAAGCGAUCUUGAACUCUUAAUGACAACAUCAGAACUCAGUGCAGUUGUGUAGGCACGUUCUGAUUCAUUGACAAAAAUGACCUUGACAAACAACACACAUGCUGUUUGCCCAAGAUCCCAGAAGAACCAUGUCAAAAUUAGUGCAACAAAAUGAUCCAAUAUAUGUUCUCAAUGUUCAAACUACCAGUAGUAGAAUGCAGUAACAAAUGUAACAGAGAUGCAAUACAACAGUCUAAACAUAGUAGUUGCAGCACUAACCCUACCGACUAAAAGGUUCCAAUCUUUUCUCGAGAAAUACCGGUGCAGAAGAACCUUAGUACUGUAAGAGCAAGACAAUCCACAUGAUCCUAAACAUGAGGUAGCAUUCAGUGAAAGACUGAGUUAUCACAAAUCUCAAAAACUAAAGAAAAUACACAUUUGCGAAAAACAACGCAGAUCCCCUAUUGAAGCGUUAAAACAACAUGAAUCUUUCAGCAUACAAAAACUAGCAUCACCUCAGCCUUAGUAAGUCACAUGUUCUAGCAACAGGCCAGUAACGGCUCUUAUUCAUUUCUAAUUUCAAGAACCCUGUACGGUCAUGCUAUAAAUGCCUACCUGACGGUGUAUAUUGAGCACCGAAGAGACUCAAGGCCUGCUGUGAUUCACAUGUUGUUUUUCAUCGUCCUGCUAAAAUGAUCAACCCUGUAUAAGAAACCAGGCCCAACGAUCAGACGAAGCAAGAAAAAUUAGCGGGCCCCAAACAAAAUGUUAUUUUCUAGAUCCAAAAUGGGAAAAGUUGAUUUCAUUCAACAGAUUCAGACAAUACCGACUUAACGAUGAAACCACCAGAGAAAACUUGUUACAAGUUAUGGCUGAAAACAUCAUCACAUGGAUGGCCCAACUAAUGGAGAAACACUUACCCAGCACAUGUAAGCAGCAUACGUAGGCAUAACCAAACUGACCCCAUGCGAUAAUUAACAAGCGGGUCAAAGGAUAAAGCCACAACUUCAAUCUGUCAAGGUCAAGAAGCGAUCUAGAACUAUUAAUGACAACAUCAGAACAAGGUGCAGUUGUGUAAACAUGUUCCGAUUCAUUGAUAAGGAGAUGAGCAUGACGUACAGCUCACCUAAACACAUGCUGUUUGACCAAGAUCCCACAAGAAACAUGACAUAAUUAGUGCAACAAAAUGGUCCACGUGUGUGACAAAAUGAUCCAAUCUAGAUUCUGAAUGUUCAAAACUACCAGUGGUACAAUGCAGAGACAAAUGUGACAAGAGAGGUAAUACAACAGUCUAAACAUCGUAGUUGCAGCACAAACUCUACCAACUAGCAGGCUCCAAUCUAAUUUCAAGAAACAUGAUUCUAAACAUGAGGUAACAUUACAAGAUGCGAGACCGAGUUAUCACAUUUCCCCUCCAGUUCUCCUUGACUCCAUGUGUACUGGCACUGGGGCUGCAAGCCCAGGCUUGCCAUUGGCACUCUUCUUGCUGUUUGCAGCCUUCCUCUCAUCGGCCUCGGCAGAACUCGAGCUCUCAGAGCUCUCAUCAGCCUCGGUAUUGGCCUCAUUACCGCGGAAACUUACCUUCCUGUUCACAGUUGGGCGAUUCAUCCCAUGACAACCUUCAGGAUAAUCGUCGAAUGCGCCGUCCACGCCCAUCUCCUCCUGCUCUUUGAGGAGCACCUUGUCAACGAACUCCAGUAUCCGGCCGAGCUCCCGGCUCACGGCGUGCUUCCCCUCCCGGAUCAUGGGGUCCCCUCCCUGGUCCGAAAUCCAGCAUCAAAACCCCACACCAAUGGCAUAUAACCGAUGGGACCGAACAGAGGUCGUUGCAUCACCUGGAUCCCGUCGAGGCGGUAGAGCAUGCCCAGGGCGGCCUCCGAGACGGCCAUGGGGUCCUUGCACCGGCGGCGGCCGGAGCCGGAGAGGGCCGCCCGGAGGGACGCGGCCUUAGAGCGGAGCAUGGCGAGCUCCUUGAGCUGGCGCAGCGUGCGGGAGCGCCGCGCCAGGAAGCGGCGGAAGUGCUCCUGGAUGGUGCGCGCCGCGAGCUCCCUCUCGGACGGCGGCCCCUGGCGCGCGCGACGCGGCGGGGGCGGGGGCGG